rnacentral:rRNA from 1 species
CCUACGGGGUGCAGCAGUGGGGAAUAUUGCACAAUGGGGGAAACCCUGAUGCAGCGACGCCGCGUGAGUGAAGAAGUAUUUCGGUAUGUAAAGCUCUAUCAGCAGGGAAGAAAAUGAUGGUACCUGAUUAAGAAGUCCCGGCCAACUACGUACCAGCAGCCGCGGUAAUACGUAGGGGGCACGCGUUAUGCGGAUUUACUGGGUGGAAAGGGAGCGUAGACGGCAGCACAAGUCUGGAGUGAAAUGCCGGGGCUUAACCCCGGAACUGCUUUGGAAACUGUGCAGCUAGAGUGCAGGAGAGGUGAGUAGAAUUCCUGGUGUAGCGGUGAAAUGCGUAGAUAUUAGGAGGAACACCAGUGGCGAAGGCGGCUUACUGGACUGUAACUGACGUUGAGGCUCGAAAGCGUGGGGAGCAAACAGGAUUAGAUACCCGGGUAGUC